rnacentral:tRNA from 1 species
UAUAUUUUAGUGUAUGAGGCACAAGAGUUUUUGAUACUUUUAGAGAUAGUUUAAUUCUAUUAAAUAUAA